GGGGCCGAUUUGGAUUCGACGCCGGUAACAAAACCGAAGAGUGCAUGCCGUGAUGGCAGCGAAUCACGUUAAUCAAAAGCUGUAAUCUUAUAGUUGCCAACGACGACAACUACGCUCUAGCGGCAUAAACCCCGUUAGCGGUCAUUAGCAAGGUGCCCAUACCGCGCUACUGACUGUCAUACAGAAUGGGAUCGCAGCAAAGUGUGCCUGUCACGGCGCUGUUAAACUCUAAGCAGGCUCGCCAAUCACGUCCUGACCGUUGGGCUGUGAGCGGCUAAAUCAAUAAACGGAAACUAAGCAUGUAGAGCUCUCGGCAGAGUGCUGGCGGACGGGGGUUCAAAUCCCCCCGGCUCCACCA
rnacentral:tmRNA from 1 species